GGUACCGGGCGUACCGUACCCGUACCGAUGGAUACCGGUAUCGGUACGCCAGUGUCGGUACGCCUGACGUACCGCGUACCGUACGUACUGACAUUCGGUACGCUUAUGCUAGUGCGGCACCGGUACGGGGUUCGGUACCGGUACGGCGAACCUUGGGGGCAAGGAUUAUUGACCUUGAGACUAGGCUGAACACUCGCUUGACUUUGGCUGAAAAUUCAAUCACCAACCUCCAAGUUACUCACAACGAUGGAGAAUUUGAACUUGGUGAGUUUGAAU
rnacentral:lncRNA from 1 species